UACAGAGGGUGCAAGCGUUGUUCGGAUUUACUGGGCGUAAAGGGCGCGUAGGCGGCAAUUCAAGUCAUCUGUGAAAUCUCCGGGCUUAACUCGGAACGGUCAGAUGAUACUGCUUUGCUAGAGUGCGGAAGGGGCAAUCGGAAUUCUUGGUGUAGCGGUGAAAUGCGUAGAUAUCAAGAGGAACACCUGAGGUGAAGACGGGUUGCUGGGCCGACACUGACGCUGAUAGCGCGAAAGCCAGGGGAGCAAACGGG
rnacentral:rRNA from 1 species